AUGAACGCUGGCGGCGUGCCUAAUACAUGCAAGUCGCGCGAACAGACGAGGAGCUUGCUCCUCUGACGUUAGCGGCGGACGGGUGAGUAACACGUGGAUAACCUACCUAUAAGACUGGGAUAACUUCGGGAAACCGGAGCUAAUACCGGAUAAUAUAUUGAACCGCAUGGUUCAAUAGUGAAAGACGGUUUUGCUGUCACUUAUAGAUGGAUCCGCGCCGCAUUAGCUAGUUGGUAAGGUAACGGCUUACCAAGGCAACGAUGCGUAGCCGACCUGAGAGGGUGAUCGGCCACACUGGAACUGAGACACGGUCCAGACUCCUACGGGAGGCAGCAGUAGGGAAUCUUCCGCAAUGGGCGAAAGCCUGACGGAGCAACGCCGCGUGAGUGAUGAAGGUCUUCGGAUCGUAAAACGCUGUUAUUAGGGAAGAACAAAUGUGUAAGUAACUAUGCACGUCUUGACGGUACCUAAGCAGAAAGCCACGGCUAACUACGU
rnacentral:rRNA from 1 species